rnacentral:rRNA from 1 species
UACGGAAGGUGCAAGCGUUAGUCGGAAUUACUGGGCGUAAAGGGUGCGUAGGCGGAGAUGUAAGUUGGUCGUGAAAUUCCGGGGCUUAACCUCGGAGCUGCAAUCAAAACUGCAUCACUAGAGGAAUGGCGGAGAAAAUGGAAUUCCAUAUGUAGCGGUGAAAUGCGUAGAUAUAUGGAAGAACACCUGUGGCGAAAGCGGUUUUCUAGCCUUCUCCUGACGCUGAGGCACGAAAGCAAGGGGAGCAAACAGG